ACAGAUCUAUGGCUAAUUGCACAGCAAUUAGUGCUGGGGUCGGUACGACAAGCCCCAGGCCACACAGAGGGGCAGACAAUAGUCACAUAACAGGGGCGAACCCACUUUUAACUUCGUUCCCUACAAUCGUGCCCCAUGUUGACUGGGAGUCGGGGAAUCAAGGGCAUGUCUCAAGAGGCAUUCAAUAUAGAUCUAGGCCAAUCGGAAGUCAGUAUGAUAAUAACAGCAGACCUAGCUACACAGGUAUCGG